rnacentral:lncRNA from 1 species
GUCCGGUGGAUAAUCGGACGGUGCUAGCUGUGACAUCCGGUGGAUAAUCGCAUGGUGCUAGGUGUGCCACGUGGACAUGUUAGUUGGCUGAGAAACUGCACGGAAUUCGGUACUAGAGAUUAUCCGAUUCUUACUAAAUUAUAUCAUAUUAAUAUUAGCUAAUAUAUAAGUAUAAAAAUAAAUAAUUAGCAUGUAUUGGAUCCUCGGUAACUUUUAUUCUAGGUUCGCCACUGAACACAUGAUCUGUUCAUUACUAAUCAUAGAUUACAUAUUUCACUGGUUUUUAAUCUCCCAG